rnacentral:rRNA from 1 species
CCUACGGGCGGCAGCAGUGAGGAAUAUUGGUCAAUGGGCGGGAGCCUGAACCAGCCAAGUCGCGUGAAGGAAGAAGGCCCUAAGGGUCGUAAACUUCUUUUGUGGGGGAAUAAAGCGCGCCACGUAUGCCUUUGUGCGUGUACCUUAUGAAUAAGCAUCGGCUAACUCCGUGCCAGCAGCCGCGGUAAUACGGAGGAUCCGAGCGUUAUCCGGAUUUAUUGGGUUUAAAGGGAACGUAGGCGGGUUGUGAAGUCAGCUGGGAAAGGUCGGGGCUCAACCCGAGACGUGCAGUUGAUCUUGGCAGGCUUGAGUCGAGGAGAGGGAGGCGGAAUGCGUGGUGUAGCGGUGAAAUGCAUAGAUAUCACGAAGAACCCCGAUGGCGAAGGCAGCGGACUG